rnacentral:rRNA from 1 species
CCCGCCGGACCUGACUGCUAUCGGAUUGAUACUAAGCCAUGCGAGUCUUUGCAGUAAUGCAAGGCAUACGGCUCAGUAACACGUAGUCAACUUACCCUAUGGACGAGGAUAAUCUCGGGAAACUGAGCAUAAUACUCGAUAGAUCAUAAUGCCUGGAAUGGUUUAUGGUUGAAAUGAUUCGUCGCCAUAGGAUGGGACUGCGGCCUAUCAGCUUGUUGGUGAGGUAAUGGCCCACCAAGGCGAUUACAGGUACGGGCUCUGAGAGGAGAAGCCCGGAGAUGGGUACUGAGACAAGGACCCAGGCCCUAUGGGGCGCAGCAGGCGAGAAAACUUUGCAAUGUGCGAAAGCACGACAAGGUUAAUCCGAGUGAUUUCUGCUAAAGAAAUCUUUUGCAAGUCAUAAAACCACUAGUGAAUAAGGGGUGGGCAAGUUCUGGUGUCAGCCGCCGCGGUAAAACCAGCACCUCAAGUGGUCAGGAGGAUUAUUGGGCCUAAAGCAUCCGUAGCCGGCUCUGUAAGUUUUCGGUUAAAUCCAUGUGCUCAACGCAUGGGCUGCCGAAAAUACUGCAUAGCUAGGGAGUGGGAGAGGUAGACGGUACUCGGUAGGAAGGGGUAAAAUCCUUUGAUCUAUCGAUGACCACCUGUGGCGAAGGCGGUCUACCAGAACACGUUCGACGGUGAGGGAUGAAAGCUGGGGGAGCAAACCGGAUUAGAUACCCGGGUAGUCCCAGCUGUAAACGAUGCAGACUCGAUGAUGCAUUGGCAUAUAGCCAGCGCAGUGUCGCAGGGAAGCCGUUAAGUCUGCCGCCUGGGAAGUACGUACGCAAGUAUGAAACUUAAAGGAAUUGGCGGGGGAGCACCACAAGGGGUGAAGCCUGCGGUUCAAUUGGAGUCAACGCCGGA